GGCGAACGGGUGAGUAAUACAUCGGAACGUGCCCAGUCGUGGGGGAUAACGUAGCGAAAGUUACGCUAAUACCGCAUACGAUCUACGGAUGAAAGCGGGGGACCGUAAGGCCUCGCGCGAUUGGAGCGGCCGAUGUCAGAUUAGGUAGUUGGUGAGGUAAAGGCUCACCAAGCCGACGAUCUGUAGCUGGUCUGAGAGGACGACCAGCCACACUGGGACUGAGACACGGCCCAGACUCCUACGGGAGGCAGCAGUGGGGAAUUUUGGACAAUGGGCGCAAGCCUGAUCCAGCCAUUCCGCGUGCAGGACGAAGGCCUUCGGGUUGUAAACUGCUUUUGUACGGAACGAAAAGGCUCUGGUUAAUACCUGGGGCUCAUGACGGUACCGUAAGAAUAAGCACCGGCUAACUACGUGCCAGCAGCCGCGGUAAUACGUAGGGUGCAAGCGUUAAUCGGAAUUACUGGGCGUAAAGCGUGCGCAGGCGGUUUUGUAAGACAGGCGUGAAAUCCCCGGGCUCAACCUGGGAACUGCGCUUGUGACUGCAAGGCUAGAGUAAGGCAGAGGGGGGUGGAAUUCCACGUGUAGCAGUGAAAUGCGUAGAGAUGUGGAGGAACACCAAUGGCGAAGGCAGCCCCCUGGGCCAAUACUGACGCUCAUGCACGAAAGCGUGGGUAGCAAACAGGAUUAGAUACCCUGGUAGUCCACGCCCU
rnacentral:rRNA from 1 species